rnacentral:rRNA from 6 species
GAACGACUCUCGGCAACGGAUAUCUCGGCUCUCGCAUCGAUGAAGAACGUAGCGAAAUGCGAUACUUGGUGUGAAUUGCAGAAUCCCGUGAACCAUCGAGUCUUUGAACGCAAGUUGCGCCCGACGCCUUUUUGGUUGAGGGCACGUCUGCUUGGGUGUCACGC